rnacentral:rRNA from 1 species
CAGUAGCCGCGGUAAUACGUAGGGUGCAAGCGUUAAUCGGAAUUACUGGGCGUAAAGCGUGCGUAGGCGGCUUUUUAAGUCGGAUGUGAAAUCCCUGAGCUUAACUUAGGAAUUGCAUUCGAUACUGGGAAGCUAGAGUAUGGGAGAGGAUGGUAGAAUUCCAGGUGUAGCGGUGAAAUGCGUAGAGAUCUGGAGGAAUACCGAUGGCGAAGGCAGCCAUCUGGCCUAAUACUGACGCUGAGGUACGAAAGCAUGGGGAGCAAACAGGAUUAGAUCCCCGGUAGUCCCUGUCUCUUAUACA